rnacentral:rRNA from 1 species
AUUGAACGCUGGCGGCAUGCCUUACACAUGCAAGUCGAACGGUAACGCGGGGCAACCUGGCGACGAGUGGCGAACGGGUGAGUAAUACAUCGGAACGUGCCCAGUAGUGGGGGAUAGCCCGGCGAAAGCCGGAUUAAUACCGCAUACGACCUACGGGUGAAAGCAGGGGAUCGCAAGACCUUGCGCUAUUGGAGCGGCCGAUGUCAGAUUAGGUUGUUGGUGGGGUAAAAGCCUACCAAGCCGACGAUCUGUAGCUGGUCUGAGAGGACGACCAGCCACACUGGGACUGAGACACGGCCCAGACUCCUACGGGAGGCAGCAGUGGGGAAUUUUUGGGACAAUGGGCGCAAGCCUGAUCCAGCCAUGCCGCGUGCGGGAAGAAGGCCUUCGGUUGUAA